UUGUGGAUGCAGCUCAGUGAUAGAGCCUCUGCCUAGCAUGCAAAAUGCCCUGGGUUCAAGUCACAAUACUGCAAA
rnacentral:tRNA from 1 species